CUGCUGCAGCUUGGGCAGCGACAUGACCGCCUGGCUGCUCUCGGCGGGCGCGGGAGGGACUAGCAGUGGCUGCUGCGAAGAGGCUGAGGGAAGACAUCCCCGUCGGAAUACAUGAGAUGGGGCAUAGACACGGCCUCUCUGAAGGGAGGUGGUAGAAGAAUUUACACAGCCCCAAAUAAGCACUUCUCUCGUCUCAACAAUUACACUCUGGAAAGUCCAGGCACUGACUGACAGGUGAAGAGGCUGGGGGUUUGAAGAGAGGAAGGAGGCCGCCCAGCACCUCUAGGGUGCUACGUUAGCGUGGAAGUCAAGAUUGUUCAAGCUGCGGUCCCUGGUCAUUUGCUUUAUGAAUUCCAGUCCUCCGUAGAAAGGAGGCCAGCAGCUCUAAGACAAAAAGCCUAUUCUGUCUGCUCAUCUCCCCGACUGGCCAGGCCUUUGAGGUUUCUCUCCCAGAAAACAAACCUCCACGCGAGACUAUGUGAGGAGGCUGCGGAUUACAAAGUGUCCACCUUGUCCCAAGCACCCUGACACCUAGAACAGGAACUCUCACCAUGCCCACUUUUAGAAGGGAGGAAACAAAGAUCAGAGAGGCAGAGUGACUGGCUCAAGAUCACACAGCCGCUGCUCAAAGUGCCCUCUGUGAACUCUUCAGAAGCCCACGAGGAUGACAAGCAGGGACAACUUUCUGUCACCAUUUCAUGGAGGAACCCACCAGUCGUUAGAAAGGACACCUGUUCCAGGCUGCGAGGACUGGUACCAGCAGCCUUGGAUACAAUACAGUCCCUGAGCUGUUUUCUGCAUCAGUAAGAUGGGUAGAGAAAGUUUAACCGUGGAUGACUAACAUCUCCUGGAGCUGUUUCACAAACUGGGCCAGACCAGGGACCAGCAACAGAUCUAGUUGGAUGUGCCUGCCUCCGGGAGCAGUGAACAGGGACUCAGGAAAGAGCUGCUACCUAUGAGGCCUUCUACACAUCACCAGGCCACUCCCUUCAGAGCCACCUGGGCGCAUGAAGGGUCCCUAUGCAUCCCCUCAUGAUCUCUCCAUCUCUCUCACGAUUUCCCACCCAGCCUCUCACACUGGGCUCCUCAGCAUUGGGCACGACCCCCAUUCCGUAGCAGCUCAGCAACAGUGGCCCUCUACCCAGGAGCUAUAAGUACCAACCAACCUGACCCUCCACCUUGAGUCUAGGCCCAGCUCCCUGGGGCCCCUGCCCUUUCCCAGACUGUAUCUUAGAAACUUCUCUGUAUCAGUCUGCCUGCGUUGGUCUUGACUUUCUCCCGUAACAAGCCCCUCCCCCAGUGACUCACCUCUGAGCAAGUCACAGACACACAGUGACCCUCCCACCUCAGACCAGUCCCUGCUGAGAUGGGUCGAGAGGCUAUUUUCAGACACUCUCCAGUCCACUCUUGCCUCUCCAGCAGUCUGGCCUUGAGCACUUCCCUCCCACCAGGAAACAGCAGGCUCUUGUUCUAAUCCUGAUUCCACCUCACUGAAUGUGCGACCUUGGGCAAGUCUCUUGCUCAACUUCCAAAUAAGGGGAUGAGCUGCGGAGAUGCUGGCCUAACCUGGAAAGGUGAGCCAAGGAGGCCUUGGGGAGACAUGAGGCCUGCCUGGAGUCUCAGAGAGUGAGUGGGACUCAACCAGAAGGCGGGGGCAGGCAUUCGGGUAGCGGGAACGGUGUCUGCAAAGGGCUGUGGGCAAGCAACGCACACGUGUGGUGCCUGGGAGGUGCAGCCUCUCAGAGAGCCUGGCAAAGAGAUGAGCCUGGGCAGUCCGCCAGGGCCUGGCUGACCCCUAGUUCUUAGGCCCAGAGUCCAGGUCUGCAGCAGUAGGUAAAGGGGACAAAUGUGUGGCGAGUUAGACCUGUCAGUUACAGCAGAUUCUAGAGAGGCCAGAGUGGGUGGCAGGGGAAUUCCCAGCUAGAGGUCUGAGUCUAGGACUGAGCCUGGGCCCCGAGGGGCCUGGCUACCCGAGGGGCCUGGAGGCUCUAGAGAGCCAUGUGGCCAGGGAAGUAUACAGCUGUCCUCACAGUUUGGCCCAGAUCUCUGGACAUCGACAGAGACAAAUACAGUUAACACAACAUGCAGACAGCACCAAACCCAGACAGGGGACAGACACAGACCUGUGGCCACAAGCAUGAACCCAUGGGAACGGGAAGCCAAAGCCACCAACACUAACAGGGCAAGCAUACCUCCCCCAUUGACCCCCUCAGAGGACAGCAGUGAGGGGCACUCGGGACUCUUAUGGACACAGUGUCUUGAUCCCCAAAGAACAAACCCCUCAUUAACAGACCCGCAGCCUGGAGUCACAGGCUCCUUACCUAGAGGGUCCUUUCCCACUUGGUGAGCUUCUACUCAUCCUUCAAGACCCAGCUCAAGGGUUCCCUCUUCUACGGAGCUUGCCCUGAACCCCCAGUCAGUCACUUCCUCUGUGUUCCCAACGGCACCUUGUAUAUGGGAAUAACAAUAACAAUAACAAUAAAAUGGCAGCUACUGUUGAUUUAAACACCAAUGUGCUGAA